rnacentral:misc_RNA from 1 species
GAUGAAGAACGUAGCGAAAUGCGAUACUUGGUGUGAAUUGCAGAAUCCCGUGAACCAUCGAGUCUUUGAACGCAAGUUGCGCCCGAAGCCACUAGGCCGAGGGCACGCCUGCCUGGGCGUCACACGCCGUUGCCCCCCCACCUACUCCUUCGGGAUUGCGGGGGGGCGGAUGAUGGCCUCCCGUGCGCCUAGCCGCGCGGUUGGCAUAAAUACCAAGUCCUCGGCGACGCACGCCACGACAAUCGGUGGUUGCGAAACCUCGGUUGCCCGUCGUGUGCGUUCGUCGCGCAUCGAGGGCUCGAAAAAAUGCUCGGCUCCGGCUGGGCUUUCAACGCGACCCCAGGUCAGGCGGGGUUACCCGCUGAAUUUAAGCAUAUCAAUAAGCGGAGGA